AACUCUAUUCUGGUUGUACAGGGAUGGGCUUAGGUUUGCGGGUCCUCUGUUCCCGCGCUCGUCUCCCGGAUUUGUGUUCCCAGCUGCAGGUGGCGGAGGCGACACGAAAUGCCCAGUGACCGUGCCCCGCAGGGGGUGGGUAGAAGCCCCUCUCCCACGUUUCCCUCCGCCACUCCCAGCCCAGCUUUGUCCUUUGACUUAAGCUAAGUGACGAGGUGGGUUAGGAAAGGCCUUGGAGACAAGACACUAGCAUUUUCUGAGAUGGCCACAGGGUUGGUUUCUCUGAGCCCGCUCUCUUCGGCUUGCUCAGGCUGACUCCUCACGUGGCCUUUCCCGUAUGUGAGGCCAUUCCUGGCCCCUUUCCUCUCACUUGGACCCCAGUCUCAUGACCUCUCCUAACCUUAAUCAUGUCUCUAAAGGCUCCGUCUCCAAAUAAGAGUCAUAUUGCAGGUUGGAGCUUCAGUGCGUGGAUUUUGCGAGGGGCAUACAAUUCAUUCCAGAACAGUUGGGAACUUACUACUCUCUUUUCCCACAGCACCCAGCACCGUGUCCCGUAAAACGGUGUCACAGUGGAUGUGGGAUCAUGGGAUGAUCACAGCAGGGCUUUGGGGGCCUCUAUGACGGUUCAUCUUGGUGCACAGAUGUCACAUUGCCACUUCCGGCGACUGGACUAGAGCAUCUGUCUUGGCAUCCUGCCCUCUUCAGAACCCACGCUGGAUUCUUUUAGGUGAGCAAAGGGCUCAUCAUUAUCGGCCCCCAUUUUAAUUAAUUUUAAUUGUCCAAGGCCCACUUGCCAGAUCAUAUGUCUUAGCUUACGGUCACAGCCGAAAGAGAGCCUUUAGGGCAUGUGGCUAGUCUCCCAUAGCUAAGUUACUCCCUGUUAUUGAGCCUUCCUCAGGCCAGAUGGCUGAUUUCCAGAUGAGUUCUCUUCCAUACAGUUGAGGGCUGCUAUCAGGAAACCAAGCUGCUUUUUUUUUUCCCUUUAAUCAGGGCUUCCACUUGGCAGUGGGAAAGUUCGUUCUUGGGACUGGGGUGUUAUUGUCAGUCCAGUAGUGGUGCUGCCACUCAUCAUAAAUGUGACACAUGCCCCUCUAAGGGGCCCACAUCUAUAUUCCUUGCGGCCUGUGUGUUGGAGAAACCAAACUGUUUCCGUUUUUAGAAAGGUGAAGUAUGUUGCAUAACCCCUCUUAGGGGUUUGGGGUAGUACUCCAUAACCUAACACAUUAACAUUUCUGGAACAAAAUGUUUGAGUAUAUCCACUAAUUGGGAUAAACAGUUUUCAGUUCCCCAGCAGAUGAGUUCAGCUUAGCUCAUGUUUUCUAACCAAAUGGAUUAUGAGAAAACAUGUUUGCCCUCAGAGAUUUUUUUUUUGAGAGUAUUAAAUCGUUUUCUGAUGACGCAUGAUAAUGGAUGAUACACAAGCUUCAUUCCCAUCGCUCUCAUAAUUCCAUUUAGCUAUACUGCCUAGGAUGUGCCAACAAUCAUAUUAAUAACCAAAAAAAAAAAAA